GAAAUGAGAUAAGUAAUGUGAAUUGCAGAAUUCAGUGAAUCAUCGAAUCUUUGAACGCACCUUGCGCUCCUUGGUAUUCCUUGGAGCAUGCCUGUUUGAGUAUCAUGAAAUCUUCAAAGUAAAUCUUUUGUUAACUCAAUUGGUUUCUACUUUGGUAUUGGAGGUCUUUGCAGCUUCACACCUGCUCCUCUUUGUUCAUUAGCUGGAUCUCAGUGUUAUGCUUGGUUCCACUCGGCGUGAUAAGUUAUCUAUCGCUGAGGACACUGUAAAAGGUGGCCAAGGUAAAUGCAGAUGAACCGCUUCUAAUAGUCCAUUGACUUGGACAAUACUUUUAUGAUCUGAUCUCAAAUCAGGUAGGACUACCCGCUGAACUUAAGC
rnacentral:misc_RNA from 1 species